rnacentral:rRNA from 1 species
UCCUACGGGAGGCAGCAGUGAGGAAUAUUGGUCAAUGGACGAGAGUCUGAACCAGCCAAGUAGCGUGAAGGAUGACUGCCCUAUGGGUUGUAAACUUCUUUUAUAUGGGAAUAAAAUGUUCCACGUGUGGGAUUUUGUAUGUACCAUAUGAAUAAGGAUCGGCUAACUCCGUGCCAGCAGCCGCGGUAAUACGGAGGAUGCGAGCGUUAUCCGGAUUUAUUGGGUUUAAAGGGUGCGUAGGCGGGCUGCCAAGUCAGCGGUAAAAUUGCGGGGCUCAACCCCGUCGAGCCGUUGAAACUGGCGGG